rnacentral:rRNA from 1 species
UACGGAAGGCAGCAGUGGGGAAUAUUGCACAAUGGGCGCAAGCCUGAUGCAGCCAUGCCGCGUGUAUGAAGAAGGCCUUCGGGUUGUAAAGUACUUUCAGUCGUGAGGAAGGUGUUAAGGUUAAUAACCUUAGCAAUUGACGUUAGCGACAGAGGAAGCACCGGCUAACUCCGUGCCAGCAGCCGCGGUAAUACGGAGGGUGCGAGCGUUAAUCGGAAUUACUGGGCGUAAAGGGCACGCAGGCGGUUAAUUAAGUUGGAUGUGAAAUCCCCGGGCUUAACCUGGGAAUGGCAUUCAAGACUGGUUAGCUAGAGUCUUGUAGAGGGGGUAGAAUUCCAUGUGUAGCGGUGAAAUGCGUAGAGAUGUGGAGGAAUACCGGUGGCGAAGGCGGCCCCUGGGACAAAGACUGACGCUCAUGUGCGAAAGCUGGGGAGCAAACAGGAUUAGAUACC